GGAGCAGUCUAGCAUUCACAGUCUGAAUGGAAUAAUGCUGCUUUGGUCAGAGGCUCUGCUGGGAGCAAAGUUUGCGCUGCUGGUUCUUAAACUACUGCUACCAUGAGAAUGACCAAAAUUGAGGACUUGGAUUCCAGAGCCCCUGCUUUUGACCGAGACACCUCCCAAGAAUUCGGGGAAAGCUCAGCUGUGUGGUUCUGUCGUGAAGUUGUCGUCAAGAUAUUGGCUGGAGCUGCAGCUGACUGAACCCUUGACCAGGGCUGGAGGAUCCACUUCCAA